CAUGAAAAAGAAUAGUAUUUUACCAUUUUACACAUCAAAAGGCCGAAAAAAUGGUGGUAUGCCAAAGAGGGUGUUCCGGGAGGUCGCCGGAAUUAGGCCGGAUUUUGGUCGCCGGAUUUUUGGGGUAGAAUUGACAUCAAUAGCUAGGUCUUGAGGAGAUCUAUCCAUUGAUGUAGGUAUUUUGGGGUGGUAGUGCUUGGAGCUUCAAGAAUUUGGGCAAAAAAGUGACGGGAAAGUUUCCUAGAUCUAAGAUUCAAGGAGUUUGAGGGAUUUUUUUACGAUUUGGUUUGGAGAUAUGGAAAGAGGAAGUUUUGGAGAUUACGUGGCGUGAAUUUGGAGGUGCUUGGAGGUGGUCCGCCGGUGACGGCGAUUUCCGGCAGGCGGCGGUGGGCGGAGUUGGAGUGGCGUAGAGAGAGUGAAGAGAGAGAGAAGAG
rnacentral:lncRNA from 1 species